rnacentral:rRNA from 1 species
GUCCGCACUGUAAACGAUGAUUACUCGCUGCUGGGAGGUAACUUUCAGUGGCUUAGCGAAAGCGAUAAGUAAUCCACCUGGGAGUACGCCGGCAACGGUGAACUCAAAGGAAUUGACGGGCCCGCACAAGCGGAGGAGCAUGUGGUUUAAUUCGAUGAUACGCGAGGAACCUUACCAGGGCUUGAAAGUUAGUGACCGAUUCUGAAAGGAGUCUUUCCGCAAGGACACGAAACUAGGUGCUGCAUGGCUGUCGU